UCGCUUAGAUUAGGCUUAAAAUUCAAAUUACAAGAAUUGUCAUACUUAUAUAUACAUAUAUAAGCAUAUAGUACUUCAUAUAAAAUUAAACCCUUUCUUAGAUUGACUAGUCCAUAAUUUUAAAGUGUACCAUAAUUGUAACAAAAACAAUAAGAAGAAGGAUCAGAAAUAGCUAAGAUGUAACGAGUGCAAUUUGAAUAACUUAACUUGUGCAAUUUGGAUACUCGGUUAAUAUGCAUAUAUGAGUGGCUUCAGCUACCCGGUAAUGCCAAUCGAUAAAUUCUGAAGGCGAGCCCUAACCACAGCCAAGGGCCCCAAGCCACGAAGCUUAAGCGUUUACUCAAGUCAUAAGCAUAAGAAUCUCAAAUGGCGGAGCUGCCAUAUCAAAAAUAUUUUAAAAUGUGGUCCCGACUUAAGUCAAUUUUGUUUUCUUUCCGCAAAUAAGUGUACGCAUACAUGUAGAAGCGGGUGUGUGACUGCGAUUAUGUCUCUGUGUGUGUGUUUGUGUUACGUUUUCUUUUUUCAUGUCAUUGAACCCUGGUCCCCUGUUUUUGGCUGUCUCUUGAUUUUUAGAGCGGCAGCGCCUGGUGGUUGCUUUGCGCGCCCGUUGGGGUUGCUAAGUAUUCUAAUCCAUGUUGUGGAUUGCCGUUUGUACCUUUGACAUGCGAUUAAUGGAGCAUCUUCAGCCGGAUAGGUUUGGCCAGCAAUAGCAUUUUGAUUUAUCUAUGCCCAUUUAAAAACGUGCUUGGCUUCAAAGUGGCGCAACGGAUUUUAAGACCAAAAGCACAGCAAGCGGCGACUCUUGGG